AGCGAACGCUGGCGGCGUGCUUAACACAUGCAAGUCGAGUGCGUAGCCCUUUGUAGCAAUACAGAGGGUGGGCGCACGGCGCACGGGGUGAGUAACACGUGGGGUAACCUGCCCUUCGGUGGGGAAUAACCCCGACGAAAGCGGGGCGUAAUUCCGCAUAACAUUCCGGGGACGACAUGUUCUCGGACUCAAAGGAGUGAUUCGCCGGAGGAGGGGCCCGCGCCCGAUUAGCUUGUUGGUAGGGUAACGGCCUACCAAGGC
rnacentral:rRNA from 1 species